GACGAACGCUGGCGGCGUGCUUAACACAUGCAAGUCGAACGGAAAGGCCGUGCUUGUGUGGGGUGCUCGAGUGGCGAACGGGUGAGUAACACGUGAGUAACCUGCCCUUGACUUUGGGAUAACUUCAGGAAACUGGGGCUAAUACCGGAUAGGAGCUCCUGCUGCAUGGUGGGGGUUGGAAAGUUGCGGCGGUUGGGGCUGGACUCGCGGCUUAUCAGCUUGUUGGUGGGGUAGUGGCUUACCAAGGGUUUGACGGGUAGCCGGCCUGAGAGGGUUACCGGCCACAUUGGGACUGAGAUACGGACCAGACUCCUACGGGAGGCAGUAGUGGGGAAUAUUGCACAAUGGGCGGAAGCGUGAUACAGCGACGCAGGGUGCGGGAUGACGGCCUUCGGGUUGUAAACCGCUUUCGCCUGUGACGAAGCGUUAGUGACGGUAAUGGGUAAAGAAGCACCGGCUAACUACGUG
rnacentral:rRNA from 1 species